GACGGAGGAUGCAAGUGUUAUCCGGAAUCACUGGGCGUAAAGCGUCUGUAGGUGGUCAAAUAAGUCAACUGUUAAAUCUUGAGGCUCAACCUCAAAAUCGCAGUCGAAACUAUUCGACUAGAGUAUAGUAGGGGUAAAGGGAAUUUCCAGUGGAGCGGUGAAAUGCGUAGAGAUUGGAAAGAUCACCGAUGGCGAAGGCACUUUACUGGGCUAUUACUAACACUGAGAGACGAAAGCUAGGGUAGCAAAUGGG
rnacentral:rRNA from 1 species